AUGUGGCAGCCAGCAGCAUGGCAGACGCGUGUAGAUAAGAUUUUAACUGAAAGAAGAGAAGAUUUUCAAGACAUCAGUGUGCCAGUGCAAGAUGACCUUUCCAAAGUAGAGGAGAGUUCUGAAAUUUCUCCAGAGCCUCAAACACAAAUGAAGACACUGAGAUGGGCAAUUUCACAAUUUGCUUUAGUAGAAAGGAUUGUAGAAGAUAAAUAUUUCUGUGAAAAUUGCCAUCAUUACACUGAAGCUGAACGAAGUCUUUUGUUUGACAAAAUGCCUGAGGUUAUAACUAUUCAUUUGAAGUGCUUUGCUGCUAGUGGCUUGGAGUUUGAUUGUUACGGUGGUAGACUUCACUUGUCAACAUUCCUUUGUUGACACCUCUUAAGUUGUCACUAGAAGAAUGGAGCACGAAGCCGACCAAUGACAGCUACGGGUUAUUUGUGGUCGUGAUGCACAGUGGCAUUACUAUUAGUAGUGGGCAUUACACUGCUUCUGUGAAAGUUACUGACAUUAACAGUUUAGAAAUAGAUAAGGGAAAUUUUGUGGUUGACCAAAUGUGUGAUAUAGGUAAGCCAGACCAUUGAGUGAGGAAGAAGCAAGGGGUGUGGUUGACAAUUAUGACAAUGAAGUGUCCAUUAGAGUUGGUGGAAAUAUGCAGUCAAGUAAAGUUUUGAACAAAAAAAAUGUAGAAGCUAUUGGACUUCUUGGAGGACAAAAGAGCAAAGCAGAUUAUGAACUACACAACAAAGCAUCUAAUUCUGAUAAGGCUGCCAGUGCAGUGUUGGCUGAAAGUAGAAAUUCUGAGACUAACAGUAUUAAUGGGACCCAUAAAUCUGAUAGCAAUAAGGAAUCCAGUGACCAAACAGGUAUUAAUAUUAAUGGAUUUGAGAACAAGAUUUCCUAUAUAGUGCAAAGCUUAAAGGCGUAUGAGGGGAAGUGGUUGCUUUUUGAUGAUUCUGAAGUGAAAGUUACAGAAGAGAAGGACUUUCUGAAUUCUCUUUCCCCUUCUACAUCUCCUACAUCUACUCCUUACUUGCUAUUUUAUAAGAAAUUACAGAGUUGAGUGUAUUGUCUUUGUGUAUAUAUUAAACAGACCUGCACAAACAUUGGUAAAAUUGAUUACAUCAAAGUUUUUAGCUUAUCUUUUGAAGCUACUGGGUAUUAUUUAGUCUCUCUAGGUUUUUAUAUAAAGAGUGAAAUUUGAAUUACUGAAAACCAUGUUAAUUUUUAAAAUUCCUUAGUAGAGACUAGUGAUGCAUUAGCUUCUGGGAACAAACUUGUAUAGGUUCUUAAUUGAAUUAUCCAAAAUGGAAGCAUUUAAACACUUCUGGAUUCACACCAGUCUUUUGUGUUUGCUUUUUAAAAUAAAGUGCUUAUAUUUAUAUUCUCCAUAUUAUGGAGUAAU